UUAAAUAAACUCAUAUUGUGACUAUUACAUACAUUGAUAUAAACUUUGCGCUGGUAUAUCUCGAGGUGAAUCAUUUUUUUAUAAACAUUUGAUAUCAAACUUACUAUCAUAUAUGCAACUGAGAUAUCAUACCACUCAAAUUCUAUCUACAUUCCGAGAGGUCAGAUACUCGAACUAUGAUAAACUUCAGAUAAUGAGUAUAUACUUAUUUGGAUGUUUUGAAGUUCAGAUGUUUGCUGAGGAAGAACCUAUAGAACCAUCACCAUCAA
rnacentral:lncRNA from 1 species